ensembl:lncRNA
CCCGCUUCUCCUUCCAGUGACCUUGGGCCCUCUGCUCCCCAAGGCCCGUCACGGGCCCAGCUCUCACCUCUCACUUUUGCGCCGCCUCCGCUGGCCGGGCCCCGCUUGGGUGCUUUGCCGCUCUCCGGCUUUCCGGGAGAGGAGGACCCUGAGGCGGCCGGCUCCCCCCGGGGAAGUGUGGGCUGGUGCCCCGGGGCCUGGCCCUCGGCGCGAGCCCCGCCCACCUUGCCGCCUCGGGCCCCUGGGGAGCGGGCCCUGAGCCGCCUUGGGCUCCCCGGGGCUGGCCUCGCCCUCCUCACCGGGACGCGUUUGCCGCCCCCAGGCCUCCCACCCCGGCGCCCAUUCGCUAACUUGUGUCUAUUCCGUGGGUGCGCACGAGGAGGGGAGAAAAAAGCCCCGGGGAGCCGGCCGCGGGUGGGCGCCGGGAGAAGCCAGGCGGUCCCGCGCGGGCUGGAGCAGCCGCAGGCUGGGGGGCAGGUCCCGCUGGCCCCCAUCCCACCCGCGGGCCGGGGCCUAGGCAGGGGCACACUUAGUGUGCCAGGAAGGGCGGGUCAGCGGGAAGCGCCGGGCCUGGGGUCAGCGGGAAGCGCCGGGCCUGGGGUCAGCGGGAAGCGCCGGGCCUGGGGUCAGCGGGAAGCGCCGGGCCUGGGGUCAGCGGGAAGCGCCGGGCCUGGGGUCAGCGGGAAGAGCCGGGCCUGGGGUCAGCGGGAAGCGCCGGGCCUGGGGUCAGCGGAGCAGGCGCUGCUGGCCUCAGGCAUUGUCACUCAGCCCCUGUGGCCUUUACCUUCCCUAAAACGGGGCCACACUGAAGAGAGCCGCAAGCCCGCGUCUUCGCCUUUGCGGCUGGGACGUGCGCCAGGAGCGGAUGCGCGCUUACCUCCCAGGAGCCCCUGCGGCUUUAUUAGCCGUUUUAUAGCCAUUCACUCGCUUGGUGCCGUGCCCGGGGCCAGCAGCUAAUAAGUGUCCGAGGCCGCAUUUGACUCUGCUCUUCCUGACUCCAGGCCUGGUCCCGCUUCACCCACCGACCGGGCAGAGCUGUGUCAGUCAGUGGCCCCCGUUUCUGAGGGAGCCCUUGGCCAGCCCAGCCCGGCGGCCUUAGAGAAGGGGCUUGCCCGCCGUCACAGGGCUGAAGCUUCUAUGAAUGUUCCAGUUUCCUCACUUAUGGAUCUUACCACCGAAACCUAACAACAUGGACCAACAAGUGUGGCCUCCUUGCCAUUUUGGAAGGGAUGAAGAAAGCUUCCAAGACAAAUACAAAAUAGAAGAGCAUGCCUCAGGAGGGAAGUGAAGCCUUCAGAGACCAUCUCUCUUCUUGGGAUUAUCUUACUCCUGUGCCAUCUACUCCAAACCAGAAUAGCUGAUGAGCAAGUUUGAGAGUGGUUAAACAGAUUUUCCACCAACCACAUUAAAAGGAGAAAGCGCUCAGAUUUUCCCCGUGGGCCCAAGAUGAUGCAGCAAUUUCUAAUACCUGGGAGAUAGAUUUGUUUAAAAAACUUCAAAUUUGGAUUGUAGGAUAAUUAUUACAGACUAGCAGUAACUUGACUCAUUAAAGUGAGGAACCAUCCUGCUAUGAGAGGGAUUCUCUAAUUAACCCUCAAAAAGAAUGGAUUGCAAGCUUCCCAAUAGAGCUUCUCCAGUCCAACCUUUUAUGUCAAGAGUACACUGGAAUUCAUGUAAACAAAGCAUCCCUGUAAAACAAGAGCCAGCUACAUCUCAGAGCCCCCCUGGAAAUACUGUGGAAUUGGGAGGAGUCUGGUGGGUCCCAUUCCUUUCCUAAUCAGCACACCUCUGCUUCUUCUGACUACCAGAAGGUCAGUUCUCACAGUUAUUUCAGACCCAUAUAGAAAAGUGAAGUUUCAGAAAUGUCAUGGGAACAAUUUGCCAUCCUAUUUGUGAGCCUCAAGGGAUUGAGAUAAAUAUCUGAACUUACUGCCUCUGUGCUGCCUUUGAAGUUUAUCCAUUACUAAUAAAACUUUCAGAAAGCCAGGGUUGGAUCCAACUGAGCGGCUUUCUUUGGAAAUCCUUUUGGACACCAGUUAUUUUUGCACAGGGCAAUCAGCCCACUGGGCCAGAGGGAUCAAGCAUUUGGAAAAAUGAAUGAGGAUGAAGCUGGGACAGGAAUAUUUC